rnacentral:rRNA from 1 species
UACAGAAGUCCCGAGCGUUGUUCGGAUUCACUGGGCGUAAAGCGCACGUAGGCGGCUCUUUAAGUCAGGGGUGAAAUCCUGGAGCUCAACUCCAGAACUGCCUUUGAUACUGAGGGGCUUGAGUCCGGGAGAGGUGAGUGGAACUGCGAGUGUAGAGGUGAAAUUCGUAGAUAUUCGCAAGAACACCAGUGGCGAAGGCGGCUCACUGGCCCGGUACUGACGCUGAGGUGCGAAAGCGUGGGGAGCAAACAGG